CUCCUUCUUUUUCUUCUUCUCUUCACCGUGGGCGGCGCCCUCGCCGCCGCCGACACCGGGGAUCUUCUGCUUGAUCUUGUCCACCAAGCCCUCCUUGUGUUCGCCCUCCUUGUGUUCCCCGCCGUGAUGCUGCUGCUGAUGGUGAACAUCAGUAGUGCCGACACCGGGGAUCUGCUGCUUGAUCUUGUCCACCAAGCCCUCCUUGUGUUCGCCGCCGUGAUACUGCUGCUGAUGGUGGACAUCAGUAGUGUGGUGGUCCCCACUAUGGUGCUCUCCCUUGUGCUUGUCCUCCUCCUUUUGCCCUCCUCCCAUGUGAAGGGCUUCUCCGAUCUUGUGAAUAACUCCUGACAUUUUCCCUUAAAAUGACUCUGUUCCUCUUCUUUUCUUUUCAAUGAAAAAUAGUUGUUUGCGAUCUUCUUCUGGUUGUUGUUGUUCUUGUUGGGUGAUCUUGGCUUGGUAUUUAUAGGCUCCAAAAGGAGGGACUAGAAUUAGGAUUAGAUUAUAGAUUAUUUUAAUACAUUUUAUGGCAAAUUCUGAUUUGGAAAGAUAAGAUUAUCCUUUUGGUUUUCCUUAUUUACCCUUUUGCACCCAUUACGUGUACGCGUCUUCGUGGGCUUUUUGGGUAUUUCAAUUAUAUCGCCAAUGCUAAAUCGACACGUUGCAUAUCAGCCGCGGUACUGCCGUAUGUAGUUGUCCAGAAAUCGAGUCGAUUCUCGAUCGUACAAUAAUUAAAUAAUAUUUCAUACGAAAUGAGUUUAGAUAUAUUUUGAAAAUUUAUUUUUAAUUUAAUUAUACGUGUUAUAUAUUUGUUAAUCGAAUAGAGGUCCCACGUAACAGAGUGUUUCUCUAAUCUUUCAUUGCUUUUAAUUAAUUUUACCCAAAUAAAAAAAAAAAGGAAAAUUUAGAGAGAGAGAGAGAGAUAGCGAAUUAGAAGUUGAUUGUAAUAUCGACACCUGUCAGACAAUCAAAUAUCGUUAGUUAAAAAUCAGUUGUCCAUAGUCAUGGUCAUAGAUGGCGAAAUUGAUACUUAUUUUAAAAAACAAAACAAAACAAAACGAAACGAAACUAAACUAACAGAUGUUGAAAUGCAGUUCCGUGUUAACAGUCUGUGAUGAAUCUUUAUCUUUGAGUAUACCAUUCAAGAAAUUAUCAUUCAAAAAUUUAUUUAAAGCAGCAGCAAAUCACCUUCUAAUUCCUGAAUCAAAUUAAUUCGAUUUUUUUCGAGUCGAUCAAUUCAUUAGAGAAUUAACGGGCUAAGUUAAAGUUUUGUUAGUUAUUUUUUUUUAUAUUCCUUUAGAUGAUAUGAUUGUCAUUGUCUUUCUUUCUCUGGGCAACAAUAAAUACAAGAUGUGCAAAAGCGUAGUGGAACAUAAUUCGAUUAUGGGUAAAGGGAUCAGUCCGCAUAAUGAGGAUAAAGUUUUUCUCUUUAAAAAAAUUUAACCCAAAGAAAAGGUCGUAGUUUGUAAUAGCCGACACGCAGAUAGAUCACAAAGCAUGGCGGUCCUGAUGGCAAUAACUAACUGAUAUCUUCUGCGAUGAGAGGAGAUCACGUGGUUCUGACACGUAUCGCCCCAUCAACUGAUGUUGUGGCUGCAAUCGCGGCCCAGUCUUUAGAGAGAAGAAAGAUCUGUUAUAACGGGACCUACUUUAGCAUCUAUUUACGACAAAGCCCCUAUUUACUCUACUUAGUAGUAAUAAUAGCAAGUGUCGGGCUUGGAUUCCGUGUUGCUUUAAAUAAAUAUCCGCGUAAAAAGAAAAUGCUUCUUUAAUCCCUUCCUUGUAAUUUUUCGACACGUGGAUGGUUGAAAUUAGCGUGCCGACAUCUUAGGAAUUUUAUCUUGGAGACGGGAACACUGCAGUAGGCAAUGCCAUUUUCUUCGGAUGGUGUGUGGUGACAACGCCUUGGAUUUUGACGUGCAAAGAAUUUAAAUUGAAAAAGAAAAAAAGAAAUUACCAGAAUAAGCAUAGAAGAGAUAUUUUUCUUUUUGUCCUUUUUGGAAUGGAAAAAGAGAUCAAGAGAUUGUUCCAGUAAGUAUUACACAUGUCACAGGCUUAUUCAUGCCCCAUUAUGGCAACUUUUAUGCCUCGCGGUGCCCUCGGUUCCAGCAUAAUAGCUAAGACUUCAAUUUUUCUAACAUAUUUUUGUUACAAAUAUGAACGGAGUAAAUGUAUAACUUUAAUCCUUUGAAUAAAGAAAUGGCGGUUCUCCUGCUCGUUAAUCUCACUUGAAUCCCACCCAGGCAAAAUUUCUUUAUUUUAUUUAACAACAAUUUAAAGAAAGAAACUUUUGCCAGGUUGAAUUUCAAGUGAGAUUCAUUCGUGGGAGAAGUGCCAUUUCUUUAUUCAAAAGAUUAUGGUAAUUACAACUUUCAAUUUCGACAUAAAUUAAAAUUAUAGGCUAUACAAUAAAAUUGCCCUAAAUUAGUCCUAAUCAAUUCAGAUUAUAAAUUUAGGUAUAUUUAUUAUUUUAAUAUAUUAAUGUUCUAUAUAUAUAUAUAUAUAUAUAUAUAUAUGUGUGUGUGUGUGUGUAUNNNNNNNNNNNNNNNNNNNNNNNNNNNNNNNNNNNNNNNNNNNNNNNNNNNNNNNNNNNNNNNNNNNNNNNNNNNNNNNNNNNNNNNNNNNNNNNNNNNNNNNNNNNNACAGCAGAAAAUAUUUGCUAUGGAUAAGGAGACAUGGUCCCACGUCCCACCGUCCCAAUGCAUAUUUUGUAUGUUUCCAUCUUUUCUGAAAUUUUAAUAAAUAAAGUUUUUUGACCACUUGGCCAAAGAACCUUACCCUUACACAACUUUGUGGUUGGAGUCCUGUGAUACAUGUAAGAACUUAUUUUUUUUCUUAAUUAUAAUAUUUUAGAAUAUAAUUAAGUGAAGUAGGUUUUUUUUUUAAAUAUGAGUAAAAUAGAUAUUUUUUAAAUAUUAAAGAGAGUAAAAUUUGAAUAAUAAUAUAUUAAAAUUAAUACAAACUAAUUUUAAUAAUUAUUUAAUUAUAAAUAUCAAUUAUAACAUCAUAUAAUAUCAAUUAUAAUAUCGUACAUCUCAAUUAAUUCAAUAAUAAUAAUAAUAAAUGUUUUUUGGGAUAAGUAAACAGUCGCAUGGCGACAAUAGUGGAUCUGGAUUAGAGUGAAGUGGUCCCAAGAGGCUGAGGCUGUGGCUGUGGAGUUCUAAAAGUCAAAAGCUCCACGCACUUUGUUUCAGUACCAUACACACUGAAAAAAUUUGCAUUUGCAAUGACGAAAACUUUUCACGAAAUCAAAACACCUCUAAACUAUUUUGUUAUCGAUAUUUAAUGGAGGGGUUUCCUACCUUUUUAACACUCGAUUCACGCCUUGACGCAUCUCACAGAAAACCUCAUGAUCCCAUUAAUCUUGCGUAACAUAUCUCAAAGCCAAUGCAAGUGAUCUUGUUGCCUACUUCCCUUUGACGAUUCAAAAUUGUUGAAAAUAAUUCUUUUUUUUUUUAACCUCAAGGAAGUGACAAAAUAUAAAAGAAUAUUUUCUACACAUUAAACAUCUAGAUUUUUUUUUCUUUUCUUUUUAGAGUACUUGCACAAACCGUUUCCAAGAGAGACCUUUUUUUUUUUUUUUUUUUUCCGGGCUUGGUUACUAAUUUGGUGUGAAUACUCUAUGGUGAAAAAGGAAUCACAAAGCUGUAAUCAAUUUUUUUGCAUCAUUUAGUUGUAACUUGAACAUUGGGAGGUUUAUAAAGAAUUAAAUUAAUUAUAAUGCCUCUACUAGGAAAAGUUCAGAGUAGCCCUUCACAACUUUUUAAAGGCUUAAUAAUUUUCGCUUUCUUCCUCUCAUAACAUAACAAAAAAUUAAGAGCUUUACUCGUACACGUCCUAUGGCUAUAUAGUAUUGGGUUCUCUACUUCAAUCGGCUAUCUCAAACCGAAGGUUAUUUGGACACACCAGCAGUCACGUUUGGAAACUCUCAAAUGCUUGGAUUGUAAUUCUUGUGGAUGAGAUCAUCUAAAUCUUGGGCCCAAGCCGGACAAUGGGUGGACAAAGAACCCUAAAAUACAGUAAAGCUUCUAACACCCCACUAAAACUCUUAAGAAAUCCUACCUUUUAUUUUUAUAUCUCUUUCUUUUAGAAAUUAUAGAGAAGACAUAGCAUUUUAAUUAUUUUCCCUGCCAUUGAAAAUAAAUUCUGUAAACAUAUUUUUUCAUAAUAAAAUUAUUGUUAUUAGAUAAUUUAUUUCUUCAUUGUUUCAAAAUUAUUAUAAUUUUAUCAACAAAAUUAGUUAUGUCAUAUAUUAGGAUUAAAAUUAAUUAGGAUCCAUAACUUGUAAAGACAUUUUAGUUUAAUUGAAUUCAUAUUUGUCAUUUUAUGUAAUUUUCAAUAAAAAUACGACUAUGAGUGCAAAAGUGGGAUGACAUAAUAUUAAAAGAGUGUGAAAUAAUCGGUAAUUGAAAUGGAUUGAAAUCAUAAUAGAGUAUGAAAAUCAGAAUAAAUUGUUUACUUUAGUUGUAGAAAUCAAAAUUAAAAUAAACCAUAUUAUCAUUGAUGUAUAUAUGUUUUCUUGUAAUCGAAAUGAAUUCUUAUAAGUUACUAUAAGACCCUUAUGGUGUGUUUACUAAUCAGAAAUCAGAAUGGAGUGGAAUUUGAAUAUAGAAUGGUAGGGGUAUUCGCGGAUCGGAUUUUACGGAUUGGACAUUAAUUCAUAUCCGAUCCAUAAUUUUACGGAUUAUAAAUUCUCAACACAAUCCAAAUCCAAUCUAUAUGUUUGCAGAUCGGAUGCGGAUUUGACUCAAUUCAUAUCCAAUCCACUAUUUGACGGAUUGAUUUUGGAAUUAAAAAUUUUUAAUUUUGUCCAAUCUAUGAGGUAAUUAAAUUUAAAAAUCUAAUAUAAAAAUAAUUUAUUAAAUAAAAAAUUAACGUAAAAAUAAUUUUACUACCAAUUAAAUUCAAAAUUGAACAAGAUUUAAAUAAAUUAAUUAUUUAAAUAAAACUAGAAUAAUUUAUUUAAAAUUUUUAAAUAUAACAUAUCGAAAAAAAAUUCAUUUGUUUAGAUUAAUAUAUGAAAAUUAACUAAAAUUAUGAAUUUAAAUGUUGAAAUUUGAGAGCUUGGAUGUAACAGGAAGAAAUUAAGAAACUUGAAGAACUUGAAAAGAAAGUAACAAAUUAAGCUUAACUACCUCUAAUGGUGAAGUGAAACAGUGAUGGUUUGUGCGUGCAAUGGGGUACAAAUUUGGCAUUAUAUGCCAAAAUAUUUUGUUUGGCUUUAGAAUUUUUAAUGUUUAGGAAGCUAUAUUUGUUUAUUUAAUUACUCAAAUAUUUAAUUAUUUUUUAUUUUAUGUUAUUAUUGAAUAAGAUAUAAUAUUGUGUUAAUUUAGCUAUACUUUAAUUAAUUAAUUAAUUUAUUAGUAAGUAGCAUUGCUACAUUUAUAAGUUUUAUUUUUUAUUAAAUAAAUACUUUUUUUUUUCAGAUUCACGAAUUUUUACGGAUUUACAGAAAUAAAUCCAUAUCUAAUCCAUCGACUGUGGUUUUUUAAAUUUUCAUUCCAAUCCGAUCUACCAAUCCACAAAUUAUAUUUUUACGGAUCGGACGAAUUGAGCGGAUCAAAUUGGGUUCUGAACACCCCUAGAGAAUGAGAAUCAAAAUAAAUUAUUUACUUUAGUUGUGUGAAUCGGAAUUGGAAUAAAUUGUACUGUCAUUGAUGUGUUUACUUUAUCUUGGAAUCAGAAUGAAUAAUUUCAAAUUACUAAACUGACCUUAAUUUUUUAUUGUAAUAAUAAUAGUAGUAGUAGUAGUAAUAGUAGUAAUUUUCUAUUAUUAUUAUUAUUUUCUCUCUCUUUUGUUUUUAUUUUUUUAUUUUUCUCUUCUUCUUCUCUUCCUCUUUUUUUAUUUUUCUCUAAUUCAUCGAUACUUCUUCUUCUUCUUUUUUCUUUCGUUUUUAUUUUUAAUUUUUCCCUUCUUUAUCGUUCCUUCUUCUCCGUCCAUUCUCUAUCUUCAAACUCUUUUUACUUUUUCUCUUAUUCUUCAUUACUUCUUCUCCCUUUUUUUUUUUUUUCUCUUCUUUAUUAAUUCUUCUUCUUCUGCGUCUAUUCUUCAUCUUCAAAUUAUCAAGUGAAAAAUACCCACGGUGCCUUACAAGAAGAAUUGGUUUUGUUUGCUUCAAUUAUUUUUUGUAUUUUGUACUUUUGAUUGUUUCAAAAGAGGAUAAACUUGUAAUAAUGCAAUUUAAGUAGGGAUGUUUUAGACAAUUUUGGGUAUGAGAGUCUAAUUCCCAACCCCCCACUCCCUCGUAGCAGACUCCCAUUCUUCAUUCCUAACUUGGUGUUGGACCUACUAAAAUAAAUCCCAUUCCCCUUCUUAUUUCAAGAAGCAAACACGAUUUUGAUUUCAAUUCCCCAAUCCGAAAGUAAACGCACAAAAAUUGUACCCAUAUGAGAUUGCUUAUCCUCGAGUUUUUAGAUUGAAAAAAAAAAAGGAAAAAAGAAUGGCCCCAUUAGGAAGGGAUUUUAAGUGUUAGAUAAAGCCGGUGUUAACCAUUAGAAGGUCUCCGACCUUCAACUGUAAUAUAUUAAACCCAGAUAAAUUUACAUAUAAAUCACACAAACCAACAUGCCAAUCAAAUAAAUUACAUCAACUAACAACAAUUGACACAUUAAUUUUCAUAAUACAGAGGAUGCAGAAAAUUAAAAUGUUUUAUCUUUUCUCCUUAUUUGUGAAUUGGAAAAUGAAAAUGUUAAACAUACAGAAGAGUGAAACAGGAUGGAUAUAUAUACACACACACACACACACAGCUUUGGAGUUCAAUGUCAUCGUAUUGCUCCAAGAAGAUUGGCGCCAUCAAGCUUUGCACCUUCCAGAUGCUGUUUAAUCAUCACCAUAACACCUUCAGUAGACAUUAAUACAUAAUAGAAACACAAAAUUCACAUGAUCUGAAUGUCUGGUCUAUUUUACUUACCGUAUCUCGAAGAUUUACGUGCCGUAAAUAAGCUCUUUGAAGGUUGGCACCCUUUAAAUUGGCAUUACGUAGCUUUGCACCCUGCCGCAUAAAUGUUCGAAGUUUCAACAAAUUAAAGUCUCCUGAGAAAUACAUGUCACGAAAAAGUAGGGCUGAAACUUGCAUCUAAUGUACAAGAUUCAAUCAGGGGUGCUUGUCCCACAGUGAAAGUGUAUGGGGGAAAGUGCACUUUCACAAACCAAAGGGGCAAGAUGUGAUUAUCACACGAUUACAAAAGGACUGUAGUCAAGAGAGAGAACUGAACAUGCAGCUUGUAUUGAGGCCAUGAAAAUUGAUGAAAAGCAGUAACAAGCAACCAUUUUGAAAACACUUCAUAUGGUCGAAUCAAUAAAUCAAAGCUAAAAUGAUGUUGACGAUCGAUAGCUUUUAGGUGAUAAGAGUCUUGGCACUACAGUUAAAAUUAUUAUCUAGGAGUGCACACAUUAAUAAAAAAAAACACAACCAAUAAGCAUGCACUCUUAAUCAGCAUAUAAAUUAACAAGUUAGUUGCACCUUAUGUUGUUCCACAAACAGAUUGCUCGAACAAUUCACAAUCUUACCUUCAAAUUAGCUCCUUCCAAAUUAGCUCCCUCUAGGUUGGCAUUAGUAAGAUCAGCAGUCUGAAAAGUCAAGAGGACAAACAGAUUGCAAUUUGAUUAAAAUCUCAAAGUAGCAACAUUCUGCAUGAAAGAAGAGCAGCACAAUUGGCAACAUACAUUUUAGAUUAAGAGGAUGGGAUAAAAGCAAAAUUACAAGGACAUGAAGCAAAUGAGCCAUGUUUAGUAUGGCAAUUUUGACCCAAUAAUUGUGGCAGGUCUUGGAGAUAACAUAGGCAUACACAUAAGGCAGAAGCAAAUACUGUCGCAAACUCCUAGCUAACUACAAAUGUUCCAUAUAGAAAAAAACACCUGCAAAAGUAAGGGAAAAAGCAACAGAUAAAGAACUCAAGAUGCUAGACCUGUAAGUGUGCAGAUCGCAGGUCUGCUCCACAGAAGCUGCAGUCUAUCAAGCAAGCAUCUGCAAUGAUUUAAGAUAAAUUUGAAUCCAAAUGACAUUUUACCGCAAGUAGUUCCAGCCAUUUUGGGAACAAACAAGAAAUGCUAUUUUGUAUUCAUUGUAAUUCCUUAAGCUAAAUAACAAUCAUGUGCUAUCUUAACCAAGGUACAGUUGCAAAUUCUGAAAUUGUGAUGCCAUAGGUUGUUCUUAAUCUUUUUGAACUGAAUAUUGAAAAAAUAUUCCUUCAAUCAUAAAUGUUAAAUAAUUAAAAGAACUGUGAGGGGGGNNNNNNNNNNNNNNNNNNNNNNNNNNNNNNNNNNNNNNNNNNNNNNNNNNNNNNNNNNNNNNNNNNNNNNNNNNNNNNNNNNNNNNNNNNNNNNNNNNNNNNNNNNNNNNNNNNGGGGGGGGGGGGGGGGGAAUGAAUAAGCGGAUGCAUACAGAAAAUUAUGGAAAAUCUGUUAUGGAAAUAAUAUGAAAAUGGGUAUGCAUAACUACAUACUGAAUCUUGACUAAUUUCAAUUUAAUUCAGAUAAGAAAUUCCAGUAUGGGAAUUGCCUUGUAAAUUUGCACUCUGAAGAUUUGCACCAGCUAGUAAAGCUCCACGAAGGUUUGCCCCAGCAAAUUCACAUCUUCCCUAGGCAAGAUAAAACCCUUAAAAGGCAAUUUUGAAAAAUACAUAUAAUUGGGAGAAUAUCCAGUAUUGCUUUGACUCUCUUACUCACGCAAAGUUGCAUUGUGAAAAAUGGAACCCUCAGCAUCCACAUCCUGUAUCAAGAACAGACAGAUUCAGUAUGAUUAAUAUAACUGGUUGCUGGAAGACAGGACAAAAUCGCAUCUUGUCACUGUCAACUUGCAUGUUAAGAAUUAAACACGAAAACUGCAUGCUGUCCAAUUAUAAGAAACCUAUAAAAUUCAAAUCAACAUCAAUACUGGCUUAAGGAAGAUAUAAAAAUAAAAAUUAUACCAACCCGAAAUUUCGCAGAUUGAAGAUUUGCACGUGAGAAGAAAACAUUUCUAAGACACGCAUAGCUGAAGUCCACAAGUGAAAGAUCCUGGCCAUUUUAAUAAGAUAGCAUCAGAGGAAACAAUAUCUAAUGAAUAUAUAAUGUUCUUUCUUGCUUAUCUGAGAAUACUAAUGAGAUUAUCAAAAAAACUCUAAGCUACUGCUAAGAAGUCUUGUGUUACAUGAGUAUGAAUUGAGGAGGUAAAGAAGACCCUUCUCCAAUAAGUUACCAUAGAAGCCACAUAAAACCCUAAAGCAGUUACAAACUUACAAUGACCAGAAUAAACCACCCCAACUAUCUAUUGGCAAGUAAAAUCACUUCUCUGGAUUUCUGAAAACUAGCAAAACAAAUGCAUAAAUUGGCAAAUUCGAUGAUUUCCUCUGAAAACCAAAUUAUAGCAGACAUAAAACUUGGAAGUAUUCAUAGAAUAAAAAUCUUUCAAGCACCUCAAUUCAGUAAUUAUUACCAGCUUAGAAAGAUCAAGGCCAGAAAGAUUAAGUCCUCGAAAUCUGACUUUUUCAGACUGUAUACACUUGAUGAUAUCAAUGCGUGUUAGCUCAGUAUCUAACUCAUUAUCUUCCUUUCUCUUAUUUAUGACAGCAUGGAUUCUCUCAAUUAGUCCCUGAAAUGAAACACAUUAGAUGCAAACUAUUAUUUGAAAAAAGAAAUACAUUUUAUCCACUAACACACAUGGAUUUCAACAGCAAUCAUACAAUAAUUGAGGAAGGACGGUCAUAUCAGACUCAUCUGCCAAGAUUCAAUAAGCACAUCAAACUUGUUUACAUGUAAUUUCCACAUUCCACGUGAAUUUAUAAGGUCUGCCUAAGCAAACCAAAGAAGGCUACACUCAGUACUGUGUGUAUACUGCCUUACCUUUGCUGUUCCCCAGAUACCGUCCUGCAAUCCAGAUACUUAGCUGUGAAGUUUCAAGCCAGCGAAACCAUUUUAAAAGUACACAUGGACACAGAUACCAUUAUCUGAAUCAUCUUCGAUAACAAAUUAAAAUGCCCUAGCGUUCAAAAAACUUAGGAUCUCUUUAAGUGAAGUUCCUUUAAAAAAGUAGAAAAAAACUGAACAACAAUGUCAUGCUAAUAAAAGGUAAAAAAAAUAAAAUAAAAUAAAGCAUAAGGACAGAAGUUCACCAGGAGCAUGCCAGUAUAAACCAAAACGACCACAAAUCUCAACCAUAAAAUUUAAAGUAGUAAAGUAAAUAAUCAAGGGCAUGCAGUUGGCACAGGUGCUUCCAAAUAAAAUGAUGAUUCUUUUCAAACAGAAAAAAGAAAUGGAUGUUAAUAAACUAGAAGAAACCAUGUCUUACAAGUAAUUGAUAAUAUUCUGCUUCCCGUAGAAGCUCUAAAAACUCUGACUCUGUUAAUGUGGGGACAGCCCCAUCCCUUAACCAAUUCAGAAUAUGCCGAAAAUGUUUUCCGUCCCUAUCAACAAAGAUAUAGCCCUGCAAUAAUUCAAUAUGCUCAAAGAUAAGAAUCUGAAUAAUAUACCCAAGAGAAGUGCUUUUCCCUGGAAUAAUAAAAAGAAAAUAAGUCAAAACGUUUUUCUUAAUGGAAGAACACAAAGGAACAGCUCUAUGACUAACAUGAAAACCAUAAAUCAGAAUAAGAACCCAAAACUGGUCAUUUGGAGUUUCACCAGAUCAAAAAGAUCACAUGGAAAUAAAAUUGUGAAAAUGGGAUUAUUUAUGCCGAGGUCAUGGCUAAACUGCAAUCAUUACUCCAUUUUUGGUAGAAGGAGAAGAAGAAAGAAGAGUAGGUGAGUCAUCAUUCUUUCAGGUGAGUCAUCAUUCUUUCUCUGUGAUUAAUUGAUAUGAUGGAAGUGUUGUAGAUAUUAAUUUGAUAGUGAUUCCUCCCUUCAAAAGAAUUCAUUCCUUUUUUUAUUAUUUCACAAAGUUUAACUAAGACUGAGUUUUCUCAAUUUGAAGGCAUCGUGCACUCUACCCCUUUCUUUUCCUCACAUUGCUUCUUCCCAAUCCCAAAGGGAAGAAAUCAAGAAACAAUUACAAUUUUUAACUAUUCACCAGCAAAAACAAGGCAAAGAAAGAUGCUGAGUGUAAGCAAAAAUAAGAGAGUUAUACACCUCAGAGUCUUGGCACACAGUAUGGCGACCGCUGAACAUAGCUGCAAGCAUAGAUUCAGGCUCACGACGAGUCAGAGUAUCAAUUGUUGUAUAAAAUUUCUUUCCCCCUGGAUAUUAAUACAUAAAAUAUAAAUUUGUUCACUUAAAAGCAUGAAUUGUGCAAAUUUGUCAAUAAUGUCAUUCUUUCACAAACGUUCACCGAAAUGUAUAACAAUAAGUGCAUCAUAACAUAACUAAACGGCUUAAGAACUGCGCAGAUAUUACAUACAGUAGAGAAACAAGAAAUAGAAAAUGAGAUUUGCCCUUUUUAAACAGAAAGCAAUCAAAGAGUAAACUAAAGAGCUAAUAAUUCACAAAAUUCAGUUGAUUAAACUCAUUUACAAGUAAUUAGCAACAAAAUCCAAGCUAAAUAAAAAUAAUGAAAAUUAGGUUCUUAUAACAUCCGUCAAUUCUAUGAAAGUUUACCACGAUCAGCAACAAAUAGAUAAAUCGCAAUAAAGAAAAACCGACGACAUGUCGGUUGUGUAGUGCAUAAGUAAAGGAAUUUGCAGAUGAUGUAAAGAGAAUGAGGGAUAGUAACUGACCGAUGUUGAGACGAACCAUUGAAGACGAAUCGGAGUCCUUCGCCAUUGUCGAGUGUAAUGACUUGUCGUCUUACUUGCGCUCAUAGGUAUUUAUAUCAUAGCUGACACUGUUCGAAGGACAGCAAGGAUUUGGUGGGCACAAAUGCAUUUUGGAAAUUGGGCUUCGGCCCAAGAAAUCGAAAAUCAGAGGCUUUUUUUUAAAAAAAAUUUAAAAGGAUUAGAAUGUCUAUAAAUUAAUAGGGCUGAGACCAUCUUAAAUCUAUUAAGUAAAAGAGAUAUUAAAUAUUUUAUUAAUUAAUAAUUUAUUAAUUUACAGAAUUAUUUAUAAUUCAAUUAACAUACAUUUAAUAACUAAACAUUCAAUGUACAUAAUUUCUGAUUACAAUUCAAAGCACUAACAAUACUUCAUAAUUUCUUAUUACAAUUCAAGAAUUCAACCUCAUAGCUUUUAGAUGCAAUAAGAAAAAUAAGAAAUAAGAUUCAGUUAUAUUUAAAUUUUAAGAAAAAAACAAUAAAAUCAUAUUUUAUGUAAUUAAAAUAUCAUAGUCAACUACAUUUGUAAUUUCAACAAAUUAUUACUCUAUGAUUUAAAUGAGACCACAAAGUUAUAUAAGAUUUUAUCGAAAUUAUUAAUUUAAUCCAUUAGUCCAUGUCAAGACCUUGAAAAUUUAAUAAUUAUAUAAUAGAGAUUAUUAAUUUAUCGAGUAUUAAUUUAUAGAAGUUCUGAUUGUAUAUUAUUUUAUAUUAAUAAAGAAUAAAGUAGCAUUCUUUUUUAAUUCCGAAGUAAUAAAAUUAUGGCUAAAUUAAGAGAGUAGAUAUAUUUUAUAACUUGGUUUAAUAACAUCACGCGCCUCCCUUGUAGUUUUGCAGCUUUGAAGCUUUAUAAUGAAUCCUAUUAGCUUUGGCUGGAAAGUUAUAUUGUUAAAGAGAGUUUAUAUAUUAAACAAGGUGAUCUAAUAUUUCCAAAACUAAAUUUGGGAUCAAAAAUAGAAAACAUUUGCAUGUUUUUACCUUUUGGAAGAAUUACUUGAUAAGUGCUUCACAGAAAAAUGCUUGCUAUUAUAGAGCACCCUAAAAAAAAUCCUUAAUAAUUGAGGGAUCAUAAUAAAGUUCAAUUCUAAAUCUGUCAGAUAGAUCGAAAGUAACAAACCAUAUAUAUUUAAAUCUAUUUAGUAAUCCAGGGUUACAAGCCAAGCGUGCAAUAGCCAAUUCUGAAAAUCAAAGCUCAGCCUAUGCUCUCUGAGCACAAAUAAGAUCUGAUAUAUACAUAUCGAAUCCUCCAUUAUGUGGAGUGAAAUUUCCAUCGUGUACGGUGUACCUAACAAUGAGAAAGCAUGGCAGCAUAAAUUCAUCUUCCAUGUUAUUCUACUUAUUAGUACUGGUUCCCUCAUAACUUCUCCAAAUCGGGGAGGUCUGCAAUGUGUAAAGCACGUAAUCAGAUAAAAGAAAGAGAGCCAAAAAAAAAAAAAAAGGUAACAGCCAAAAGAUUAAAUUUCUUUGAGAAAUAGAAAAUGGGAGCUUUUGGCAUAGGCACAGAAUAGAAAGUAACAGAGUCAUUUACAGUUGUUCAGAAUAUGCAAGCUGAAAACAACUUUGAAUGCAAUGGACAAUUCCUCCAACAAACAAUCGAAUUGGAUUGUGGAAGAGACAAAAGCUUAAUGAGGUUAUGGUUUUGGCUAGGUGAACUCAAAAUUCUUUUAUAGACCAAGUAGGUAAAAACAAAUCCCAUAUAGAUGGAUGAACCUCAUACCAUGAACAGUUAAUCGCGAACACUUGCAGGCUUAUGCACACGACUAUGAAGAUACUAAGGGUUUCACCGAUGGUAAGUGAAAAAUAUAUGAUGUAUAAUUUAAAUGGAAGCACAUAGUUUCGGAUUGAAUUCAAG
rnacentral:lncRNA from 1 species